rnacentral:rRNA from 1 species
GACGGAGGAUGCAAGCGUUAUCCGGAAUGAUUGGGCGUAAAGCGUCUGUAGGUGGUUUAUUAAGUCUACUGUUAAAGAUUAGGGCUUAACCCUGAGCAGGCACUAGAAACUAAUAAGCUAGAGUACGGUAGGGGCAGAGGGAAUUCCCGGUGUAGCGGUGAAAUGCGUAGAGAUCGGGAAGAACACCAACGGCGAAAGCACUCUGCUGGGCCGAAACUGACACUAAGAGACGAAAGCUAGGGGAGCAAAUGGG